GGUAGCGUGUGCCGAGCGGUCUAAGGCGCUGGAUUUAGGCUCCAGUCUCUUUGGAGGCGUGGGUUCAACUCCCACCGCUGCCA